rnacentral:rRNA from 1 species
AUUGAACGCUGGCGGCAGGCCUAACACAUGCAAGUCGAGCGAGCGGCGGACGGGUGAGUAAUGUCUGGGAAACUGCCUGAUGGCGGGGGAUAACUACUGGAAACGGUAGCUAAUACCGCAUACCAUCAGAUGUGCCCAGGUGGUAUUAGCUAGUAGGUGGGGUAACGGCUCACCUAGGCGACGAUCCCUAGCUGGUCUGAGAGGAUGACCAGCCACACGGGAACUGAGACACGGUCCAGACUCCUACGGGAGGCAGCAGGGGGGAAUAUGGCACAAUGGGCGCAAGCCUGAUGCAGCCAUGCCGCGUGUGUGAAGAAGGCCGUCGGGUUGUAAAGCACUUUCAGCGGUGAGGCGUUACCCGCAGAAGAAGCACCGGCUAACUCCGUGCCAGCCGCCGCGGUAAUAC